GUAGAACGCUAGCUACAGGCUUAACACAUGCAAGUUGAACGAGAGGUUCCGGAACAAGUCUUCGGACAAGGGAAGGGACGGGAAGUAGCGAACGGGUGAGUAACGCGUGGGCAACCAACCUUACACAGGGGGAUAACGCAGAGAAAUUUGCGCUAAUACCGCAUAAGCGCACAGGAUCACAUGAUCUGGUGUGAAAAACUCCGGUGGUGUAAGACGGGCCCGCGUCUGAUUAGCUAGUUGGUCAGGUAAAGGCUCACCAAGGCGACGAUCAGUAGCCGACCUGAGAGGGUGAUCGGCCACAUUGGGACUGAGACACGGCCCAAACUCCUACGGUGAGGCAGCAGUGGGGGAUAUUGCACUAAUGGAGGGAACUCUUGAUGCAGCAAUGCCGCGUGAAGGAAGAAGGUUUUCGGAUUGUAAACUUCUAUCAGCAGGGAAGAAAAU
rnacentral:rRNA from 1 species